rnacentral:rRNA from 1 species
UACGGAGGGGGCGAGCGUUAUUCGGAAUUACUGGGCGUAAAGCGUGCGCAGGCGGUUUUGUAAGUCUGUCGUGAAAUCCCCGGGCUCAACCUGGGAAUUGCGAUGGAGACUGCAAGGCUAGAAUCUGGCAGAGGGGGGUAGAAUUCCACGUGUAGCAGUGAAAUGCGUAGAGAUGUGGAGGAACACCGAUGGCGAAGGCAGCCCCCUGGGUCAAGAUUGACGCUCAUGCACGAAAGCGUGGGGAGCAAACAGG